AUGCACGCUGGCGGCGUGCCUAAUACAUGCAGGUCGAGCGAACGGACGAGAAGCUUGCUUCUCUGAUGUUAGCGGCGGACGGGUGAGUAACACGUGGAUAACCUACCUAUAAGACUGGGAUAACUUCGGGAAACCGGAGCUAAUACCGGAUGAUAUUUUGAACCGCAUGGUUCAAAAGUGAAAGACGGUCUUGCUGUCACUUAUAGAUGGAUCCGCGCUGCAUUAGCUAGUUGGUAAGGUAACGGCUUACCAAGGCAACGAUGCAUAGCCGACCUGAGAGGGUGAUCGGCCACACUGGAACUGAGACACGGUCCAGACUCCUACGGGAGGCAGCAGUAGGGAAUCUUCCGCAAUGGGCGAAAGCCUGACGGAGCAACGCCGCGUGAGUGAUGAAGGUCUUCGGAUCGUAAAACUCUGUUAUUAGGGAAGAACAUAUGUGUAAGUAACUGUGCACAUCUUGACGGUACCUAAUCAGAAAGCCACGGCUAACUACGUG
rnacentral:rRNA from 1 species